GCCUGGAUAGCUCAGUUGGUUAGAACAUGGUGCCGAUAAUGCCAAGGUUAAAAGUUUGAUCCCUGUUUGGGACA
rnacentral:tRNA from 1 species